GACGAACGCUGGCGGCGUGCUUAACACAUGCAAGUCGAACGGAAAGGCCCUGCUUUUGUGGGGUGCUCGAGUGGCGAACGGGUGAGUAACACGUGAGUAACCUGCCCUUGACUUUGGGAUAACUUCAGGAAACUGUGGCUAAUACCGGAUAGGAGCUCCUGCUGCAUGGUGUGGGUUGGAAAGUUUCGGCGGUUGGGGAUGGACUCGCGGCUUAUCAGCUUGUUGGUGGGGUAGUGGCUUACCAAGGCUUUGACGGGUAGCCGGCCUGAGAGGGUGACCGGCCACAUUGGGACUGAGAUACGGACCAGACUCCUACGGGAGGCAGCAGUGGGGAAUAUUGCACAAUGGGCGGAAGCCUGAUGCAGCAACGCCGCGUGCGGGAUGACGGCCUUCGGGUUGUAAACCGCUUUCGCCUGUGACGAAGCGUGAGUGACGGUAAUGGGUAAAGAAGCACCGGCUAACUACGUG
rnacentral:rRNA from 1 species